AUCAUUUGAACGAAUAUCAUAGAGGGACCACAGUAGUAAUAUUAUUAUUAUCUUCUUUUUUUUUCCCGUACAUAUCUACUACGACCAUUAUGAAAUGCGAAAUAGUUUGAUAUUGGAAAGCAAACAUCAACAUUGUUACAAGAGCGAAUUAAUCCCAAGACGUUCCUUCAUGAACAGUAUUACACAUGCUCGCAGUCAAGGAAGUCAGCUCAAGCUGUGAAAUACCGAAAUGGAUAUUUAUUAUCAGAACGGACUUUAUUUAAGGAGGUUCGACGCUCGAAGAAGACACGAAUAAUUCAUAAUUUAAAAUAAAAUGUAACAUAUUCUAAUACCAAUUAAACAUGGAAGAUUCACUACAGGAAAUUACAGAAAAAAUAAGAUACAAAUGUCCUUCUAAUAAGAUGUUAAAGUAUCAUUUAAACAACUUCGGUCCGGAAAAAGAUAUUCGUAAAUUAAAAGAAAUAUUUUUCAUUAAUAACAUUCAUCAUAAAAGACAAAUUUUUCAAGAAAAAAUUCUAUUUUUGUUCAUACAUCUUUAUUAUAUCAAACGGAUUUUGCACUACAUAUGAAAAAUGAAGUCGCGUCAUAGUACAAAACAGAAGGAAGGGAAUAUUUGAUACAAUAAAGACAAUGCCUUAAUUCUAUUUGAACUGUGAAAUGUAUUAUUAUAUAGUAAAUUAUUUAUUAGUAUCU